UAAAGAGCUUGGCACAGAGCGAGUGUUCAGCAAAUGUCAGCAGCUCUUAAGAAGAGAGGAGAAAGACAACAGACAGGAAGACGGGUAGAUGCUUCUGGAGCCAGAUCACACUUGCCUGCACUAACUUCAGACUGUAACAUGAAGACAAUGGGCGCCUUUUAAGAUUUUGAGCCAGGGCAUCAGCUGCGGUCUGCCUUAGGCUCUCAUCUCCUUUCUGACCUUGGACAUGGGCAAAACCUACGGGGCAGGUUUGAUGAUUCCCACUUCGCAGAUGAGAGAAGCAAGGCUUGAGGGACAUGAACCACCUCUUCUUCAAGGUCAAUUGGCUCAUAAGCAGCAGACCAGAGCCUGGUCCCUGAACCCAAUGUUCAGUGCUUCUCCCGCCCCACCCCGCUGCUCAAGAACUGACUGACAGAGAGCCUCGUGCCAGCCUCACCCUGGCUCCAAUUAGCAGACAAAUCAGAAGUGGCUGGCGGGGCUUUGUGCCUGCUGCAGUCAUGUUUAUCGUCAUCAGAGGAGAGAAUCGAUGUGCCAGGCUGGUGAGUCAGACCCCCGUGGAGAGAAGAGUUAAGGUGAUGUGGCUUAGGGGGCUGGUCCCGGGGACUAUAAUUUGGAUUGUCGGAUAUGCUUAGGAGCAGAAUAUUUCAGCAAUUCACUGCAAGCUGAAUAGAGCCCUCACCCAGGGAGAGCUUUGAACACUUAAAGAGUUAGUGAAAGCUGGGCUAGACUAGGAGUCAGGAAGCAGGAGAGAACGUGUAACUUGUUUUUAUUUCUGGGUUUCGGUCUCCUUCUGCAUAAAAGGAGGAUUUGGGAAAACUCAGGUUAGUAGUAGGUAGUGUGAGAGGGAACGUAUGGAAAAAUACAAAUCUUUUUGCUUUAAACAGACCUCCAGCUGGUGGAAGUAACUACAGAGCUGCAAAGAGCAGUGGAGAGUCUGCUUUUGAGUCUGGACUUGACCAUGACUCUCCGUGUGAACUUGGGCUUUUCCUCGCCUGUCUCUGAACCUGAGUUUUUGCAUCAGGAUAUGGAGUCUCUUUCUGGAGCUGUGUGAAGGAGGCAGCUGUCUUAUUGCAGAGCUCACGCUCAACCACAGAACUGAGCUGCGGCUUCCAGGUGGCUACUGGUGGAGCUGGAGUAACCCCAUUCACAGUGGUCAGGAGACCCCAUGGACAAGCUCACCCAAAUCCAGGUGCUAAGAUGCCCAGGAUGUCUUCAGUGUCUGGGUUCAUCCUUCCCGCCUGGCACUUCCUCUCAGGACAACCUUCUGUGAUGCAGCCCACUGGGAGAGCUACCAAGACUCACCGCCACUGCCACUUAGAGUCCCUCAACAGUUACCCAUGGGAUGACUGCAGAAUUAUGGUCACCAAUGGAAUCCAGUUGACACCUGUCAGUAUCAGCAGGUAGCCCCAGCCUCUGUCUGUACAGGUGGGAAACCUGAGGACCCGGGAGGAGGAGUGACCGAACUGAGGGACAAUGGUGGGCUUUGGCUCCACAACCAGGUGUCCUGCUGUCCAGUCUAGUGUUUGUUGCAUUCUAUCAAACAAUCUUAGUCAUCGGUUCUGCAAAGUAACAGAAUGCAUCUCACCAAUGUCAGCUUUUACCUCACCUAUCAUGGGAGAGUCUUGGGGGCUGAUGUAAGUAAAAAGGGUGUUGGCAGUGAGGAAUUUCCUCAGGAUGAAGAAAAACUAAUCAGAGCAGAAGUGGAAUACUUUUUGCUGUUGUCUAUUGCAUUCAUUUUAGCUUUUAUUUUCAUGAAAUCCCACCUCCUGCAUUGUUUUCAUUUAUUUUUUGGCUCUUUACCUAAUUUCUUAGGAUGAGUGCUUUGUGCAAUUAUUUUAGGCUUUUCACACACACAAAAAAAUAAUAAAAGCAUUGAAAGCUAUAAAAUGUCCUCUGAGUGUAGCUUUAGCUAUGUCCCAUAGGAUUUGUUAGGGAGUGUUCUCCUUUUCAUUACUUUCUAGAUGAUAUAUAAUUUGUUUUUAUUUUCUCUUUGAGCCCAGGAUUAUUUAUAAAGUCUUUCUUAAUUCCAAAAUAGGUAAAGUUUUGGGGGUCACAUAUAUUUUUAAUAAUUUCUAAAAUGAGAUAUCCAUCAAUGUUGGUGCUUAGAAACAGAAUGAAGAGGACUUGGCUCCAAGGGUCAGAUGAGCAC